UCCUUCUUUGUUUGAGAAAUGUCUUCGGUAGGACAUCCAAGAAGGGAACUGACCCAUAGGAAAAAGGCAAAUGAUUUUUUGCCUCUACUUUCUGAUUCACAGAUAUAAAUUCAAGAGGAAUACAAGUAAUAUAAAUAUAGUUUCAAGAGGGAGAGAACCUUAACAACUUGGAUGGAAUCAAGAGAAGCAUUUAGGAGCAAAGAAAUUGAGACCCAAAGGACCUUAGAGGACCAAGAAGAGGCUGAAUUUAAACUGGACCCUCAAACUCUAGCUACAAUGCUCUUUUCAUCAAGUCUUCUAAGAAGUCAUCAUUUCCAAACAAUGUAGGGAGAGAAAGUGGAAGUAGUGCUUAGUGGGAGGUUAGUGAGACCUCUGGAGAUCCAAUGAGCAAGUAUUUAGAUACCUAGAUGGAAGCCCAAAUGUCUCUUGUGCUUGAGAAAGCAAGCUCAGUUCUCCCAUCAUGGGACUACUAAAGAUGGGAGCUCCAGUUCAGUGGUGCCAUAUAACCAUUCUACAUCUGGCAAACUCCUACUUCUUCCAGACCAGUCUAACAAGCACACAUUCUUUGAUGCUCUAGGUGCUGGAGUCUCCAGGGAAAAAUGAAAAAUAUUCUUUAGUUCUAAGAAGCUCAGGAUCAACUUGGGGAAUGGUAUGGAGAAAGAAAGUUGGAGUUGAGCCAGAAGACUCAAGUCCAUAUCCCAACAGUGACAUUGUCUUGGUGAUGUGAUCUCAGUCAAGUUUAUUUUCUCUGAGCCUCAGUUUUCUCAUCUUUAAAAUGGGGGGAGGAGGAUGGAUUCCCAUCCAUUGAUGAUCUUUAAACUUGAUUCAUUGUUUUAACAAAUCUCACCUCACCUUGUGAGGCAUCUAGCUUGAGCUGCCCCAUCCUUUGGCUGUUUUUGUUCCCUAAUUGUAAGGAGAAAAGGGCCUUGAAGAAUUCUUAAUAAAUAUUUGUUCUAUGAAUAAAAAUGGA